rnacentral:rRNA from 1 species
UGGGGAAUUUUGGACAAUGGGCGCAAGCCUGAUCCAGCCAUGCCGCGUGUCUGAAGAAGGCCUUCGGGUUGUAAAGGACUUUUGUCAGGGAAGAAAAGGACAGGGUUAAUACCUCUGUUUGAUGACGGUACCUGAAGAAUAAGCACCGGCUAACUACGUGCCAGCAGCCGCGGUAAUACGUAGGGUGCGAGCGUUAAUCGGAAUUACUGGGCGUAAAGCGAGCGCAGACGGUUACUUAAGCAGGAUGUGAAAUCCCCGGGCUCAACCCGGGAACUGCGUUCUGAACUGGGUGACUAGAGUGUGUCAGAGGGAGGUAGAAUUCCACGUGUAGCAGUGAAAUGCGUAGAGAUGUGGAGGAAUACCGAUGGCGAAGGCAGCCUCCUGGGAUAACACUGACGUUCAUGCUCGAAAGCGUGGGUAGCAAACAGGAUUAGAUACCCUGGUAGUCCACGCCCUAAACGAUGUCAAUUAGCUGUUGGGCAACUUGAUUGCUUAGCAGCGUAGCUAACGCGUGAAAUUGACCGCCUGGGGAGUACGGUCGCAAGAUUA